rnacentral:misc_RNA from 1 species
AAUUCUCAACCUUUAUUAACUUUUUGGUUAGUAAGUGGAUUGGAAGUGGGGGCAUGUUGGUUUCUUCAUUGAAAUAAACUCCCCUGAAAUGCAUUAGCUGGUUGCCUUGUGCGAACAUGUCUAUUGGUGUGAUAAUUAUCUACGCCGUGGGCUAUUUGCCGUUUAUAGCACUGCUUAUAAUCGUCUGUUCAUUCAGACAAUAUAUGACA